AUGCUAAACCGUCAGAAGUUGGUUUUCAAAGUUUUCGAAAUAGUUCCUCAAAGAGCCAUCUAGAAGCUAUACGAGACGGUGGAGAUAAUAAGCUCUACAAUUGGCUAAAAGCUUUUCGUUCGAACCGGGCACACUGUAUAGGAUAGCCACGGAUGAGGCGGGAUUAUCGAGAAGAACCUGUUAGCUGCUACCCAAAACGAAAGAAAUAGAAGGACAAACUAUGAAGAGCAUGAGAAAAAUAUGGGCGAGUAUCCCGGCAGGUAAAGAACAAGAUGCACGACGCGAAAAGACUAAAAGAAGGAUACAGAAGGAGGAAGGUAGAAACGAAACGAAACAUUCGAAAGAUUCGUAAGAAUGAUUAAUUAAUCUUAUUUAUUUAACACAACUACUACCCUCGGAUUUUGAUAUCCAAAUCUUUCUGCUCUCAACUUGGCAAACAAACAAAAAAAAAAAAAAAAGAAUUCAUAAUGUCUUAAGGUGCUUAACGUAAAAUUAACGUGUACCAAUCGCAAUUCUUUCAAUUUUUGUUCAAACUUGAAAUAUCUUUUAGCGUUAGAGAAAUACAGUACAGAAAAAAGAAACGAUCAACGUCGAUAUAAAAAUGAAACAUUUAGAGGAAUAGAAUUUUUGUUACAAACGUUUCUAUCGUAUUUAAAGAUACUAAAUUUCUCCGCUAUCCUUAAGUACGAUUGCGUGUAGAAAGAGAAUCUUUGAAUUAACGAGAUAUCGGUUUCCGUAGAAACACGUACCAGCGAGAGGGAGGAAAAAUUCGUGGAAUCGAUGCGAAGGAUCUACGAGAGAAGAUACGAAUUCUCUUUUAAUAGGAUUAAUUUCGGCAGUUGAUAAUACGACUCGCGAACCCAGAUAAGCGAUUGACGAUGCAUGGUGUCGAAUCGUACAAUAAAUUUGAUCCAGCUAACACGGUCCUCCACUUAAGUGCAAAUACGGCGCCGAGGAUGCAAUAUGUUGCGAGAGGAUGCGCCUUAACACGCAUACCUGAAUUGCAAGCUAGCAAGGCAGUUUAUUCGCGCGUCUCGUCCAGCGGAACUCAUCGUGCAACGUUUCAAUUUCCGUGACAGACUGUGAUGGAUACAGGGAGGCAGCCUUUCGAAUAACCUCUUACAAUCUCUGAGGUCCUAUUAUCGUGUCUAGGUCUUUCUUCGUCGUGCAUUUCCUUUGUACGUCUUCGUGCUUUGCCAAAUCAAAUAGACGCGCGCGCAACUGUAAAUUGAAAUUGCACGUCCCUCGAAGAAAGGGACUCUUUUUCGUUUCCUUCGAAGAUCAUUUGUCUCGCUGUUAAGAAUUUCCCUAUCUUAAAAACGUCACUUUUGAUCGUUGACAGAUAAUUUUCUAUAGGAAACAUCUAUUAAAUCGACUCGUACAUCUUCGCUUACUUUGUCAUGUCACAUCAUCUUGCGCAAUUACCAUCAUACGUCGCUUGUGCUAACUCAUGUUCAUGCUUCUACUCUUAUAUGUUUAUAUAUACAAACGUUAUGCAUACGUAUGCAUACAAAAAGCUUCGACUUAAAUUUACCCGCGAUACUUCUAGUAAUUUAUUUGUGUUGUCCAUCAGGAAAUGUAAACAAUUAUAUAUUUCAGAUACAUGGAAUACAGGAGAAAAAGAGAGAGAGACGAUUCGUAUUACGUUGAUGCAUACCGAUGUUUCCAGCGUUGGAAAAUGCUGUUGGUGAAGGAGUUUGCAGAUAUGCUGACAGGCACGGUCGAACUACUUUCUAUUAGUUGAUGAAUUACAACGUGGACUACACGUGCUAUAUGUAUGUUGUAACCGAUAAGCAGUGGAAGUGAUUUUUUUCUCUGUAUAAUCGGUUAGUGCAACUGUAUCGAAGUUUGAGGGAAAGUAAAAUUACACUUCGAUAAAUACCGCUUUUCUGACGAAGAUAAGGAACAGGAAGGCGAAUACUUCAACUAUCUCGCUCGAUUUGAUUUGACAUGCAGAUUUCAUGUAUUACUGGUUUUACAUGUAUGAAAAUAUCAUUACGAAAUAAUCGAGAUAGAACAAUUUGAAUAUUAAGUUUGCAUAUCCUAUAGUUCGCAUUCUUAACACUAUUCAUUAUUUCAUUAUUGAUUAUACGUUAUUUAGUUAUUUCAAUCGACAAUUUAUCGAACGCGGUGUGUAGUAAGUGGACCGCGGAUUUUCACGCGUCUAUGGAAAAUUCGAAGGUACAAAUAUGAACAUAAUACGCGUAAUACUUAAAGAUAUAUAAAACAUUCACGAUGUAAUAGUUGAUAGAAUAUUUACGAGGUGAAACAAUUUUCUAUUCAGGUUCUGCCUUUUUUAAUUGCUAUUCAUAAAAAUUAGAAUUUGCAUAAAUAUUCGCGAUCUAGUAACAACCUAUCCGACCGUUGCAAUUACAUAUGUCGUACACCUAUUAAAAAGUAAACGAGACAUUAAUCGAAACCAUGGGCCGUAAAUAAUUAAAAAACUUGUAUAAGUAAUACUUGUAAUAAAACGGAAGAUAAACCGAAA